GUCAGGACGAACGCUGGCGGCGUGCCUAAUACAUGCAAGUCGAACGGUCUUUCUAUGGAAGCUUGCUUCCACUGAGAAGAUAGUGGCGAACGGGUGAGUAACACGUGGGUAACCUGCCCAUAAGAGGGGGAUAACAUCCGGAAACGGGUGCUAAUACCGCAUAGUUUUUCUUGAUCGCAUGAUCGGGAAAGGAAAGACGGCCUUUGUGCUGUCGCUUAUGGAUGGACCCGCGGCGUAUUAGUUAGUUGGUGAGGUAACGGCUCACCAAGACGAUGAUACGUAGCCGACCUGAGAGGGUGAUCGGCCACAUUGGGACUGAGACACGGCCCAAACUCCUACGGGAGGCAGCAGUAGGGAAUCUUCCGCAAUGGACGAAAGUCUGACGGAGCAACGCCGCGUGAGUGAAAGAAGGUUUUCGGAUCGUAAAACUCUGUUGUCAGAGAAGAACAAGUUGGAGAGUAACUGCUCCAGCCUUGACGGUAUCUGACCAGAAAGCCACGGCUAACUACGUGCCAGCCGCGGC
rnacentral:rRNA from 1 species